UGGGGCAUCGCCAAGCGGUAAGGCACUGCUUUUUGGUAGCAGCAUCCCCAGGUUCGAAUCCUGGUGCCCCAGCCA
rnacentral:tRNA from 1 species